AGGGAGGUGUGGAGGUCCCUCAACCCGGAUUGUGAGACGGCACAGGCCAGGCCGAGGGACCCCAUCGGUGCAUG
rnacentral:pre_miRNA from 1 species